CAGCUGGUCUCAGACUACUUUGUAGUGUUUGUGACAGUAUCACCCAUCCCCCGCUGGUGCCAUGAGGUCUAGGGCCAUACAUUUGCCCUGUCUAUCAGGAGCCAACAACCUACUCACCCUGACAGCCUCCACUCUUUCACCACUUAAUUUCCCAAAACAGUGUGCCGAUAGCAACAAUGCUAUCCGUUGAACUCAUGCCUAUUUGUGAUCAAAUGUCAUUUUCAGGAUUUAAAGCGCAGGUUCAAGUCAAUGCUCCAUCACAUCUGUGGAGUCCAUCGCUGGGAAGAGGACAAAGUGGAAGAACGCUGUUACCAUGGACAGCUAACAGAGGACCAGCAGAGGAAGCCCUCUACUCAGACAACACUGUUCAAGCACACAGGAACACGUAUAUGUUGAAAUACUGUCAAAAGCGUCUCCACUUCAAAGACUACAGCAUGAAAGCCCAAACCCAGUUGACAGUUUUGGACCACAAUGAGAAUCAGAACCGGAAUAGAGGACAAGCCUCAACUGUUGCUGGCAAUCCAAGACACAGCAUUAUUGUGUUGUUGUACAGUGGAUUGCCCGGGCCAAUAUACCAGUUCACCACUCAAACAUUCAGGAAUGACCUGAUGUAGCACGUCCUGCAGAAAUGCAUGGACAAAUUAGUGAAAUACUGGGAACCAAAAUUCUGUGGAAGCGGCCGUCAUCUGGCUGCCAACAUAGCCCCAUCCCAAAACCCAGCAAGGAGGUUAUUGCAGAACACACAUCAAGAUUCAAGAACACUUGAGUGCCAUUUUGAGAAUGCCCUGUCUAUACUGUGUAUUGCUCAUUAUGUGCAGUGAUUUACCUUCAGUAUUGAAACG